rnacentral:rRNA from 1 species
UUUGAUCAUGGCUCAGAGUGAACGCUGGCGGCGUGCCUAAUACAUGCAAGUCGAACGAUGAAGCUUCUAGCUUGCUAGAAGUGGAUUAGUGGCGCACGGGUGAGUAACGCAUAGGUCAUGUGCCUCUUAGUUUGGGAUAGCCAUUGGAAACGAUGAUUAAUACCAGAUACUCCCUACGGGGGAAAGAUUUAUCGCUAAGAGAUCAGCCUAUGUCCUAUCAGCUUGUUGGUAAGGUAAUGGCUUACCAAGGCUAUGACGGGUAUCCGGCCUGAGAGGGUGAACGGACACACUGGAACUGAGACACGGUCCAGACUCCUACGGGAGGCAGCAGUAGGGAAUAUUGCUCAAUGGGGGAAACCCUGAAGCAGCAACGCCGCGUGGAGGAUGAAGGUUUUAGGAUUGUAAACUCCUUUUGUUAGAGAAGAUAAUGACGGUAUCUAACGAAUAAGCACCGGCUAACUCCGUGCCAGCAGCCGCGGUAAUACGGAGGGUGCAAGCGUUACUCGGAAUCACUGGGCGUAAAGAGCGCGUAGGCGGGAUAGUCAGUCAGGUGUGAAAUCCUAUGGCUUAACCAUAGAACUGCAUUUGAAACUACUAUUCUAGAGUGUGGGAGAGGUAGGUGGAAUUCUUGGUGUAGGGGUAAAAUCCGUAGAGAUCAAGAGGAAUACUCAUUGCGAAGGCGACCUGCUGGAACAUUACUGACGCUGAUUGUGCGAAAGCGUGGGGAGCAAACAGGAUUAGAUACCCUGGUAGUCCACGCCCUAAACGAUGGAUGCUAGUUGUUGGAGGGCUUAGUCUCUCCAGUAAUGCAGCUAACGCAUUAAGCAUCCCGCCUGGGGAGUACGGUCGCAAGAUUAAAACUCAAAGGAAUAGACGGGGACCCGCACAAGCGGUGGAGCAUGUGGUUUAAUUCGAAGAUACACGAAGAACCUUACCUAGGCUUGACAUUGAGAGAAUCCGCUAGAAAUAGUGGAGUGUCUAGCUUGCUAGACCUUGAAAACAGGUGCUGCACGGCUGUCGUCAGCUCGUGUCGUGAGAUGUUGGGUUAAGUCCCGCAACGAGCACAACCCCCUUUCUUAGUUGCUAACAGGUCAUGCUGAGAACUCUAAGGAUACUGCCUCCGUAAGGAGGAGGAAGGUGGGGACGACGUCAAGUCAUCAUGGCCUCUUACGCCUAGGGCUACACACGUGCUACAAUGGGGUGCACAAAGAGAAGCAAUACUGCGAAGUGGAGCCAAUCUUCAAAACGCCUCUCAGUUCGGAUUGUAGAAAGCAACUCGCCUGCAUGAAGCUGGUAAUCGACUAGAAAUCGCAAAUCAGCCAUGCUUGCGGUGAAUACGUUCCCGGGUCCUUGUACUCACCGCCCGUCACACCAUGGGAGUUGUGUUUGACCUAAAAACAGGAUGCUAAAUCUAGCUACUGCCCACGGCACACACAGCGACUGGGGUGAAGUCGUAACAAGGUAACCG